UACGGGGGGGGCAAGCGUUGUUCGGAAUUACUGGGCGUAAAGGGCUCGUAGGUGGCCAACUAAGUCAGACGUGAAAUCCCUCGGCUUAACCGGGGAACUGCGUCUGAUACUGGAUGGCUUGAGUUCGGGAGAGGGAUGGGAAUUCCAGGUGUAGCGGUGAAAUGCGUAGAUAUCUGGAGGAACACCGGUGGCGAAGGCGGCAUCCUGGACCGACACUGACACUGAGGAGCGAAAGCCAGGGGAGCAAACGGG
rnacentral:rRNA from 1 species